rnacentral:ncRNA from 2 species
CUUAGAAUCGCCGGCGUUGGUGCUCGCGGCGUGGUUCACACGCCGCGGUUAAACGGGAAGCAGGAGGGCGCGCUGCCAGCGGCGGCGAACCUAACCUGCGCUGCCCCCGCAACGGUAAGCAGACGAGAUGGCCGGCGGCUCCAAGCCGCCGGAUGCUCUGCCCCCCUCACACCGCCACUGGCCGGUGCCUCGUGCACCGGCUGGGAAGGCGAGGGGGGUUGGUCUGUCAGCCCGGAUACCGGCCAGCACGGUGGUGGUGCG